CUACGGGACGCAGCAGUGAGGAAUUUUGCGCAAUGGGGGAAACCCUGACGCAGCAACGCCGCGUGAGUGAUGAAGGCUUUCGGGUCGUAAAGCUCUGUCAAGUGGGAAGAAACUGGAAAAUGCGAAUACCAUUUUCCACUGACGGUACCACUGAAGGAAGCACCGGCUAACUCCGUGCCAGCGGCCGCGGUAAUACGGGGGGUGCAAGCGUUAUGCGGAAUUAUUGGGCGUAAAGGGCGCGUAGGCGGCCUUUUAAGUCAGAUGUGAAAGCCCGGGGCUCAACCCCGGAAGUGCAUUUGAAACUGGAGGGCUUGAGUAUGGGAGAGGGAAGUGGAAUUCCUGGUGUAGAGGUGAAAUUCGUAGAUAUCAGGAGGAACACCGGUGGCGAAGGCGACUUCCUGGACCAAUACUGACGCUGAGGCGCGAAGGCGUGGGGAGCAAACAGGAUUAGAUACCCUCGUAGUC
rnacentral:rRNA from 1 species